rnacentral:sRNA from 1 species
UUCGAGUACGUGCCUGACCCCACCUUUGAGAACUUCACAGGUGGCGUCAAGAAGCAGGUCAACAAGCUCAUCCACGCCCGGGGCACCAAUCUGAACAAGGCGAUGACGCUGCAGGAGGCCGAGGCCUUCGUGGGUGCCGAGCGCUGCACCAUGAAGACGCUGACGGAGACCGACCUGUACUGUGAGCCCCCGGAGGUGCAGCCCCCGCCCAAGCGGCGGCAGAAACGAGACACCACACACAACCUGCCCGAGUUCAUUGUGCGUGAGCGGGGACGGGCGGGGGGCGCCCCCACGGGACCGCGCUGAACCCGGCCCCCCACACAGGUGAAGUUCGGCUCUCGCGAGUGGGUGCUGGGCCGCGUGGAGUACGACACACGGGUGAGCGACGUGCCGCUCAGCCUCAUCUUGCCGCUGGUCAUCGUGCCCAUGGUGGUCGUCAUCGCGGUGUCUGUCUACUGCUACUGGAGGAAGAGCCAGCAGGCCGAACGAGAGUAUGAGAAGAUCAAGUCCCAGCUGGAGGGCCUGGAGGAGAGCGUGCGGGACCGCUGCAAGAAGGAAUUCACGGACCUGAUGAUCGAGAUGGAGGACCAGACCAACGACGUGCACGAGGCCGGCAUCCCCGUGCUGGACUACAAGACCUACACCGACCGCGUCUUCUUCCUGCCCUCCAAGGACGGCGACAAGGACGUGAUGAUCACCGGCAAGCUAGACAUCCCCGAGCCGCGGCGGCCGGUGGUGGAGCAGGCCCUCUACCAGUUCUCCAACCUGCUGAACAGCAAGUCCUUCCUCAUCAAUGUGAGCCGGGCAUCGGGCGGGCGGGAGGGCACACAGGUGGCGCCGGGCAGGCUUUGACCGCCGGCCCCUACAGUUCAUCCACACCCUGGAGAACCAGCGGGAGUUCUCGGCCCGCGCCAAGGUCUACUUCGCGUCCCUGCUGACGGUGGCGCUGCACGGGAAACUGGAGUACUACACGGACAUCAUGCACACGCUCUUCCUGGAGCUCCUGGAGCAGUACGUGGUGGCCAAGAACCCCAAGCUGAUGCUGCGCAGGUCUGAGACUGUGGUGGAGAGGAUGCUGUCCAACUGGAUGUCCAUCUGCCUGUACCAGUACCUCAAGGACAGUGCCGGGGAGCCCCUGUACAAGCUCUUCAAGGCCAUCAAACAUCAGGUGGAAAAGGGCCCGGUGGAUGCGGUACAGAAGAAGGCCAAGUACACUCUCAACGACACGGGGCUGCUGGGGGAUGAUGUGGAGUAUGCACCCCUGACGGUGAGCGUGAUCGUGCAGGACGAGGGAGUGGACGCCAUCCCGGUGAAGGUCCUCAACUGUGACACCAUCUCCCAGGUCAAGGAGAAGAUCAUUGACCAGGUGUACCGCGGGCAGCCCUGCUCCUGCUGGCCCAGGCCAGACAGCGUGGUCCUGGAGUGGCGUCCGGGCUCCACAGCGCAGAUCCUGUCGGACCUGGACCUGACGUCACAGCGGGAGGGCCGGUGGAAGCGCGUCAACACCCUUAUGCACUACAAUGUGAGCGUGUAGGCCGGGGCGGGCGAGAACUGGGCACCCUGGAGGCACAGCCCACCCUCACCGCCGUGUUCCCCAGGUCCGGGAUGGAGCCACCCUCAUCCUGUCCAAGGUGGGGGUCUCCCAGCAGCCGGAGGACAGCCAGCAGGACCUGCCUGGGGAGCGCCAUGCCCUCCUGGAGGAGGAGAACCGGGUGUGGCACCUGGUGCGGCCGACCGACGAGGUGGACGAGGGCAAGUCCAAGAGAGGCAGCGUGAAAGAGAAGGAGCGGACGAAGGCCAUCACCGAGAUCUACCUGACGCGGCUGCUCUCAGUCAAGGGCACACUGCAGCAGUUUGUGGACAACUUCUUCCAGAGCGUGCUGGCGCCUGGGCACGCGGUGCCACCUGCAGUCAAGUACUUCUUCGACUUCCUGGACGAGCAGGCAGAGAAGCACAACAUCCAGGAUGAAGACACCAUCCACAUCUGGAAGACGAACAGCUUACCGCUCCGGUUCUGGGUGAACAUCCUCAAGAACCCCCACUUCAUCUUUGACGUGCAUGUCCACGAGGUGGUGGACGCCUCGCUGUCGGUCAUCGCGCAGACCUUCAUGGACGCCUGCACGCGCACGGAGCAUAAGCUGAGCCGCGAUUCUCCCAGCAACAAGCUGCUGUACGCCAAGGAGAUCUCCACCUACAAGAAGAUGGUGGAGGAUUACUACAAGGGGAUCCGGCAGAUGGUGCAGGUCAGCGACCAGGACAUGAACACACACCUGGCAGAGAUUUCCCGGGCACACACGGACUCCUUGAACACCCUCGUGGCACUACACCAGCUCUACCAAUACACGCAGAAGUACUAUGACGAGAUCAUCAAUGCCUUGGAGGAGGACCCUGCCGCCCAGAAGAUGCAGCUGGCCUUCCGCCUGCAGCAGAUUGCGGCUGCGCUGGAGAACAAGGUCACUGACCUCUGACCUACAAUCUCCAGUGCUGCCUUGGGACAUAGGUACCUGAGGUACCUGAGAGCCCCUCGGGGGAGGAGGCCGAGUGGCUGUGGCUGAGGCCCCCACCCUCCCCUGGAACGCGCCCCAAGCCGGAGUGGGUGCAGCCGGAACCCGCCCAGCGUCUAGACUGUAGCAUCUUCCUCUGAGCAAUACCGCCGGGCACUGCACCAGCACCAGCCCCAGCCCCAGCUCCCUCCGGCCGCAGAACCAGCAUCGGGUGUUCACUGUCGAGUCUCGAGUGAUUUGAAAAUGUGCCUUACGCUGCCACGCUGGGGGCAGCUGGCCUCCGCCUCCGCCCACGCACCAGCAGCCGCCUCCAUGCCCUAGGUUGGGCCCCUGGGGGAUCUGAGGGCCUGUGGCCCCCAGGGCAAGUUCCCAGAUCCUAUGUCUGUCUGUCCACCUCGAGAUGGGAGGAGGAGAAAAAGCGGUACGAUGCCUUCCUGACCUCACCGGCCUCCCCAAGGGUGCCGGCACUCUGGGUGGUCUCACGGCUGCUGGGCCCCACGUCAAAGGUCAAGUGAGACGUAGGUCAAGUCCUACGUCGGGGCCCAGACAUCCUGGGGUCCUGGUCUGUCAGACAGGCUGCCCUAGAGCCCCACCCAGUCCGGGGGGACUGGGAGCAGUUCCACCAAGACCACCCCACCCCUUUUUGUAAAUCUUGUUCAUUGUAAAUCAAAUACAGCCGUCUUUUUC